rnacentral:tRNA from 1 species
GGGUCGUUAGCUCGGAUUAGUGAAACGGUUGACUUUUAAUCAGUUGGUCGCAGGUUCGAAUCCUGCACGACCCACCA